GACGAACGCUGGCGGCGUGCUUAACACAUGCAAGUCGAACGGAAAGGCCCUGCUUUUGUGGGGUGCUCGAGUGGCGAACGGGUGAGUAACACGUGAGUAACCUGCCCUUGACUUUGGGAUAACUUCAGGAAACUGGGGCUAAUACCGGAUAGGAGCUCCUGCUGCAUGGUGGGGGUUGGAAAGUUUCGGCGGUUGGGGAUGGACUCGCGGCUUAUCAGCUUGUUGGUGGGGUAGUGGCUUACCAAGGCUUUGACGGGUAGCCGGCCUGAGAGGGUGACCGGGCACAUUGGGACUGAGAUGCGGCCGGGACGGCUACGGGAGGCAGCAGUGGGGAAUAUUGCACAAUGGGCGGAAGCUUGAUGCAGCAACGCCGCGGGCGGGAUGAGGGCGUGCGGGUUGUAAACAGCUUUCGCCUGUGACGAAGCGUGAGUGACGGUAAUGGGUAAAGAAGCACCGGCUAACUACGUG
rnacentral:rRNA from 1 species